CCCUUAGAUGUUCUGGGCCGCACGCGCGCUACACUGACGAUGGCAACGAGUUUUUCCUUCGCCGAAAGGUGUGGGUAAUCUUUUGAAACAUCGUCGUGCUGGGGAUAGAUCAUUGCAAUUUUUGAUCUUGAACGAGGAAUUCCUAGUAAGCGCGAGUCAUCAGCUCGCGUUGAUUACGUCCCUGCCCUUUGUACACACCGCCCGUCGCUACUGCCGAUUGAACGUUUUAGUGAGGCAUUUGGACCGACGCAUCUCAGUUUAACCGCUGGUUUGUGUUGGAAAGACUUCCAAACUUGAGCGUUUAGAGGAAGUAAAAGUCGUAACA
rnacentral:rRNA from 1 species